UUGUAAACCAUUAGCUCACAUACCCUCUAAAUCUUUCCCAAGCCUCACAAAAUGAUUCAUGGUUCUUCUGAAUGAAACUUGAGAUUUCAUUUCUUAACCU
rnacentral:snoRNA from 1 species